rnacentral:rRNA from 1 species
GGAGAGUGGAAUUCCUAGUGUAGCGGUGAAAUGCGUAGAUAUUAGGAGGAACACCAGUUGCGAAGGCGGCUCUCUGGACUGUAACUGACGCUGAGGCACGAAAGCGCGGGGAGCAAACAGGAUUAGAUACCCUGGUAGUCCACGCUGUAAACGAUGAGUACUAGGUGUCGGGGGUUACCCCCUUCGGUGCCGCAGCUAACGCAUUAAGUACUCCGCCUGGGAAGUACGCCGCAAGAGU